rnacentral:rRNA from 1 species
UGGGGAAUAUUGCACAAUGGGCGCAAGCCUGAUGCAGCCAUGGCGCGUGUAUGAAGAAGGCCUUCGGGUUGUAAAGUACUUUCAGCGGGGAGGAAGGGAGUAAAGUUAAUACCUUUGCUCAUUGACGUUACCCGCAGAAGAAGCACCGGCUAACUCCGUGCCAGCAGCCGCGGUAAUACGGAGGGUGCAAGCGUUAAUCGGAAUUACUGGGCGUAAAGCGCACGCAGGCGGUUUGUUAAGUCAGAUGUGAAAUCCCCGGGCUCAACCUGGGAACUGCAUCUGAUACUGGCAAGCUUGAGUCUCGUAGAGGGGGGUAGAAUUCCAGGUGUAGCGGUGAAAUGCGUAGAGAUCUGGAGGAAUACCGGUGGCGAAGGCGGCCCCCUGGACGAAGACUGACGCUCAGGUGCGAAAGCGUGGGGAGCAAACA